UCUCCGUAGGUGAACCUGCGGAGGGAUCAUUACUGAGUGAGGGUCUCCGGGCCCGACCUCCAACCCUUUGUGAACUACAACUCUGUUGCUUCGGGGGCGACCCCGCCGUUUCGGCGGUGGCGCUCCCGGUGGCCAAUUAUUAAACUCUGCAUCUCUUGCGUCGGAGUCUUAAUGAAUUUAAACAAAACUUUUAACAACGGAUCUCUUGGUUCUGGCAUCGAUGAAGAACGCAGC
rnacentral:misc_RNA from 1 species